UGACGUGUGGUUGAGGUGUUGGUAACAAGCAGUGAUAUGAGAGGACGCACAGAGAGGGAGGAGCAACACUGUCAAAGAGCAGAAAAGACCUCCUGCUGUGCUGCAUUCAAUAUCUACAGCAGACCUCAGAUAGUGUCUGUAAGAUGUUCCCUCUGCGUCACGCUGGAGUCUGGCCUUUGUUUCUCUUCAUCCUGAAAGGUGUCAGCUGUGAUGAACUGACUCCAGACCAGACUGCAGAGUUCAGUGUAGAAGGCAGCUCUGUUACUCUGUCCUACAAGUUCUCCAGGACAAUAACUGGUAGUGAUUAUUUCUUCUGGUAUCGACAGAAUCCAGGACAAGCUCCAGAGUUCCUCCUCUCACACUCUGCUUCAGGACAAAUACUAGCUGCUCCAACCUCUGGACUGAGGAUUAAAGUGGAGCAGAACCAAAUCCACAUGAACAUCUCCUCUGCUGCAGUGACAGACUCUGCUGUGUACUACUGUGCUCUGCAGCCCACAGUGACAGGAAACUACACAACUCUGUACAAAAACCUGUGGAGCAAAGACACAACUCCUCAUCCUCCACUAGAGGGAGUCACUCACUGUUAAACCUCAGUGGUUUGUGAUGACGUUUGUUUCACAAUAAAAUAAAUUCCAACAAUCAUCAGGUUCUGUAGGAUAUUUCUUCAAUGUGUGGUGCACCACAGGGUUCAAUGCUGGGUCCUUUCAUCUUCACUUUACAUGUUGAGUUUGGAUCAUUAUUUUUCUAAAAUCAUAAAUUUCAUGGUUUUGUUGAACAUGUUUAUAGUAAAAUUCCACUGAAGUCCAGUGAUUAUGACAGAAGGUUUGUCACAUGUGGAGUUUUGGUCUCAAACACCUUCAGACUUUGUGUGAGUCAAGAACUUAGAUCCUUUUACUCUUCACUUAAUGUCUUUAAACCAGGUGAAAUCAAAUCUUCACUGUUGGUUCAUGUUAAGCAUAAAAGUGACACUGAACUGUUUUUUAU